UCGUGUAGAUUUGGAGAUUUGUUAUUUCAAGCACUGUGUGUCUGGGAAAGGAAAACGCAAAGAGUUCGACCCAAAAUGUUUAUUCACUAAAUUUACAGUCAUUGGUGAUAGUAUGCAACACGUUAUACAAUUCAGAACUAAUCGAGUGUUGAAUCUCGGAGAACUGAGCGGGAAAUUUGAAUGCAAAGUUGAUUACUCGGACCCAACCCGGUGAUUCUAGAAAGACGGUUGCAAGAGGGACUCCCAGAGGUUCCGACCACCGCGUGCUCUCCAUUCCCUAACCUUGGUUGGGCCAUUGCACUCACUGGGACUGCCGAGGUCUUUUUCCCUAGUGUGAUGGCAAGUUCCAAAGGGAGACAGAAAGAUAGUUACUACUCAAACAUGCAGCCAAAUUAAGCCUUCGUAAUCAACAGUUUGUUUUAAUUAAGCAAAAGAGCUCUCGUCAAAUUCAACACGUACAUAUCACGUGCACCUAACUAAACUUAAGUAUUUUUACAGUAAGCGAAAGUCUAGUAAAAAUAAAUGACAUUAA